UACGGGGGGGGCAAGCGUUGUUCGGAAUUACUGGGCGUAAAGGGCUCGUAGGCGGCCAACUAAGUCAGACGUGAAAUCCCUCGGCUUAACCGGGGAACUGCGUCUGAUACUGGAUGGCUUGAGUGUGGGAGAGGGAUGCGGAAUUCCAGGUGUAGCGGUGAAAUGCGUAGAUAUCUGGAGGAACACCGGUGGCGAAGGCGGCAUCCUGGACCGACACUGACGCUGAGGAGCGAAAGCCAGGGGAGCAAACGGG
rnacentral:rRNA from 1 species